UCCUUUUUAGUUUAUUAAAGAACAUAAAUUUUGUACAUUUAAAGAUAAGACUUAUACUUUUCACUUACUUCUUAUAAAGGAA
rnacentral:tRNA from 1 species